CAAGACCCAAACAAAGAAGUGCUGAACGCAAAUAUGUGCUUCUUGUCCUCGCUGCUGUCAAGAGAUGCGGAGGUCUCACUGCCUUGUUUAAUGUCACAGAGAUAAAGCUGCCCGGGAUCGCUGAGAUGGUACUGCCCUGUUUCACAGAGCUGCCGAGAAAUGCAGAGACUCAGCUGGCGGGCACCCCUGAGAUUAAGCUGAGAUAUUGCUAUCCAGCUCACCAGAGAUUCAGCAAUCCUGAGGCUAUGCUGGCUAGCACCCCAGAGACAAUGUUGUCCGGUACCACGGAGGUACCCCCAGUCCUGCUCUCUCUCUCCUGAAAUGCAACGAACUCUGGCUUCCCCUGAACUGCAGUUACCUCUGGACUCUCCUGCAUUUGCAGCAACAAUCUCCUGACUGAGUUAAGGUAACCCCCUGACAUUGUUGGACUGCAGCAGCUUCCUGUCCCUGGUGAGCUGCAACUGACUUUGGUUCUGGUGCUGCAGCAUUCACCAGUCCCAGACAAACCAUAACCUACUUCAUAGAAUGGAACUCACUACUGCAAUUGGACCCUUCCCAAGUGCGCCAUCAUCGGAGCAUGACUAGGCUGGUGGAUGGGACAGCUCAAAGCUGUGAAGCUACAGGUUUUAGUCUUCUCAGGCUCACAGUUUUACAGCCAUGGGCAAGAUAAAAUAACCCAGAGCAGUUGCUCAAAUAAAGUCAAAUUAAUUUGACACUAUUCACAACUUUCAGAAGACAGUGUGAAGUGGAGCCUGGGGAUAAAAAAGAUAAUGACAUUUGUGUCACAAUUUCAUUGUGCAAUAUCACAGAAGCCAUUUCUCAUAUGGGCAACAAGGGAUCAUACGUUAAUCUACUGAAACUAAAUAACAUACAGUAUCUUCACUUGUAACAUGUUGCUCAUUGUUAAUCUGGUAAACUCUCUAUAACUUGGUUUGCCUUAAGGCCACAGUGUCAAGUUCCUGUCAUGAGUUUGUCAGUGGCACAUAAUGGUUUGUAUGUAUACAUAUCUUGACAGGACACAUAGUACUUGCUUGUUAUUUAAAUUCUUUCUUUUUUUCCUUUGCAAAUAUUGUCAUUGAACUGGUGGAGUAACUGAUAUACAGAGCUUCAAUAUACAACCAACUCGCCACUGUUAUACAUACUAAAAUCUGUGUUUUCCAUAAAGAAGAAUAAUAUCAAGAAAAAUAUUAUAAAAAAUACAGUCUGGACCUACUCUAUGUGAAAGUGCAAUGAGAUA